GUCACUGCUAUCAGUGUUCGACUAAGCCAUGCAAGUCAAAUGUUCUUCGUGAACAUGGCGGACUGCUCAGUAACACGUGGAUAACCUGCCCUUAGGAUUGGCAUAACGCCGGGAAACUGGUGAUAAUACCGAAUAGACCAUUUAUGCUGGAAUGCUUUUUGGUUCAAAGGCUUCGGCUGCCUAAGGAUGGAUCUGCGGCCUAUCAGGUAGUAGUGGGUGUAAUGUACCUACUAGCCUACGACGGGUACGGGUUGUGGGAGCAAGAGCCCGGAGAUGGAUUCUGAGACAUGAAUCCAGGCCCUACGGGGCGCAGCAGGCGCGAAAACUUUACAAUGCGGGAAACCGCGAUAAGGGGACACUGAGUGCCAGCAUAUUAUGUUGGCUGUCCACAUGUAUAAAAACCAUGUGUUAGCAAGGGCCGGGCAAGACCGGUGCCAGCCGCCGCGGUAACACCGGCGGCCCGAGUGGUGAUCACUUUUAUUGGGUCUAAAGGGUCCGUAGCCGGUUUAAUCAGUCUUCUGGGAAAUCCGACAGCUCAACUGUUAGGCUUUCAGGGGAUACUGUUAGACUUGGGACCGGGAGAGGUAAGAGGUACUACAGGGGUAGGAGUGAAAUCUUGUAAUCCCUGUGGGACCACCAGUGGCGAAGGCGUCUUACCAGAACGGGUCCGACGGUGAGGGACGAAGGCUGGGGGCACGAACCGGAUUAGAUACCCGGGUAGUCCCAGCCGUAAACGAUGCUCGCUAGGUGUCAGGGACGGUGCGACCGUUUCUGGUGCCGCAGGGAAGCCGUGAAGCGAGCCACCUGGGAAGUACGGCCGCAAGGCUGAAACUUAAAGGAAUUGGCGGGGGAGCACUACAACGGGUGGAGCCUGCGGUUUAAUUGGAGUCAACGCCGGG
rnacentral:rRNA from 1 species